rnacentral:rRNA from 1 species
GACGUAGGGGGCCAGCGUUGUUCGGAAUUACUGGGGGUAAAGGGUUCGUAGGCGGUGUGGCAAGUCGGGUGUGAAAUCUCUGGGCUCAACCCAGAGUCUGCUUCCGAAACUGCUGUGCUUGAGUGUGGGAGAGGCGCGUGGAAUUGCAGGUGUAGCGGUGAAAUGCGUAGAUAUCUGCAGGAACACCCGUGGCGAAAGCGGCGCGCUGGACCACUACUGACGCUGAGGAACGAAAGCUAGGGGAGCAAACAGG